rnacentral:rRNA from 1 species
CGCGUAGGCGGCCUGAUAAGUCGGGGGUGAAAUCCUGUGGCUCAACCACAGGGCUGCCUCCGGGACUGUCGGGCUCGAGCACAGUAGAGGCAGGUGGAAUUCCCGGUGUAGCGGUGGAAUGCGUAGAGAUCGGGAAGAACAUCGGUGGCGAAGGCGGCCUGCUGGGCUGUUGCUGACGCUGAGGCGCGACAGCGUGGGGAGCAAACAGGAUUAGAUACCCUGGUAGUCCACGCCGUAAACGAUGGGCACUAGGCGUCGGGGGGAGCGACCCUCCCGGUGCCGUCGCUAACGCAGUAAGUGCCCCGCCUGGGGAGUACGGCCGCAAGGCUGAA